rnacentral:lncRNA from 11 species
GGGGGAAACACCAUCGAGAAAUCAAAUUAAGAUAUCAAACCAACCCGAAAUUGCUGCUGCUGGCAACCAGGGAUGGAAAUCUUUCCUCAUUUCAUUCUCACAUGCAAGAAGGAAAUAAAACCUUUGCUGAUUUCUAGCCUUGAUGGAUCAAAUGCUGUGUGAUAGCAGGUCAGCAUAAUGCUUCCUUCACUUCAAGUCUCCCAAUUCUCUUCAAAGUUCACAAUAUAAUAAAUAAUAUGGAUCAGGGUGUAUGGGGACCUCUUCCAGAUGUUCCAGAUAUAUUGUUAAGUUCCACUUAUUUAUGUGAGAGUUAAACACAUUACUAACUCUUUUCUUUAUAAUUAGUCAGAGUCC